rnacentral:rRNA from 1 species
GCCCAGUGACUCUGUUUAACGGCCGCGGUAUCCUAACCGUGCGAAGGUAGCGUAAUCACUUGUUCUUUAAAUGAGGACUAGUAUGAAUGGCAUCACGAGGGUUAUACUGUCUCCUUUCCCCAAUCAGUGAAACUAAUCUCCCCGUGCAGAAGCGGGGAUAAACAUAUAAGACGAGAAGACCCUAUGGAGCUUUAAACUAAAUUACAUUUGCCAGAUAACAAAAAAUUUAAGAAAAAUAAAAUUUACUUAAGCAUUAUGAUAAUAAGUUUUGGGUUGGGGUGACCGCGGAGCAAAAAACAUCCUCCGCAUUGAACAAGAUUGUUUCUUUAGCUAAAAGCUACGACUUUAAGCAUCAAUAAAUUGACAUUAUUGACCCAAUAUUUUGAUCAACGAACCAAGUUACCCUAGGGAUAACAGCGCAAUCCACUUCA